GUGUUCAGGCUGACGGGAGAGAAGACGGUCAUUUAGAGGAGUGGCAUGGAAUUCACUUGAGAAGUGUAGCAGGACUAGGGCUUGGUUUCAGGAAUUUGUUGAAGGAGCCCCCCCCCCCGCCCCCAGGGAUGUGCUCCUGCCGCCUCGUGCCGCCGGGUGGGCGCAGGUGAGGGCGGGCAGCAAAAUUGCAUUCAACCAGCUUGGCGGUUAGGCGGGGGCGCAUGCGGAUGGGCGCGGGUGCAACGGGGUUGAGGCGGAGCCACUAAAAUGAUGGAGCCUAGAUUGAAGGUGCGGAAGUAGGGCAGGGACGGCAAGAGAGAUCAGCCGCCCUGAGGGUGUGGCAACGAUGGACACAUGGUCCACCCUCGUGAAAUCCACAGCCUUGGAGUUCCCCGUGUGAAUAAUCCUAAGAGCUAUAAGGUAAAUGUGGUGGCGCUUUGAGAACAUGUGAAAGGGAGGCCAGCUCUUGUCAAGGCUGGGGAGCUUGCCUGCUCCUUCCUUUCUGUUGGGAACCUGGUCAUGAGUCCAGGCUCCAAAGAUACGUGCAGAUGUGUGGGAAUCCAUGCUGGUGCCACACACCAUGCUGGUCUUGAUCGCUGUUCCUACAGAUCCAGAAGAAAGGAUGAUGAGGCCAGGAGGAGCACUGGUGCUUAAGCCAAGGUCAAGUUGUCCUCACGCGUUGCUGGGGAGGCACGUCUCCAUUUCACCCACCAGGAAGGGAGCUCUGAGACUGCCUGUGUUACAUGAUCUUUGUUUUUGUGGUCGUUCUUGAUUUUGCUUUUUAGGGUUGCACCCGCAACGUAUGGAGGUUUCCAGGCGAGGUGUCUAAUCAGAGCUGCAGCUGCCAGCCUAUGCCACAGCCACAGCAACGUGGGAUCCAAGCCAUGUCUUGCAACCUAUACCACAGCUCAUGGCAAGGCCAGAUCCUUAAUCCAUAGAGCAAGGCCAGGGUUCAAACCUGCAUCCUCACGGAUACUAGUUGGGGUUUUAACUUGCUGAGACGUAAUGGGAACUCCCUGUAUUGCUUGGUCUUGAGCUCUGUGUUCAUUUCUGCACAGCAGAGACAGUAAGAAUCUUUACCUCACAGGGGCCGUGAGAAUGAAACGGGAUAACAUGUGCAGGUGGCCGGCCGCAGGUCUCAUCGGCAGGGCCUGACGAAUACUUUCGUGUUUCCUCCAGGACAUGCGCUCCACACAACUUAGGCACCAUGUGGCAUGGGCUGGGCUUCAGCCAGGUGUGUGUGACUCCCAGCCUGGACACCCGUCAUCCCCACUAUACCAUGAGCUCUCCUCAGGAUCCCUGGUGGGAAGGUCUAGGAGACCUUAACUUUAUGCCUUGAAUUUGAACUUCAUUUGGGAGAUGCUGGGGAUCCACUCAGGCUCUUUGAGCUGGGGGGCAUGUGACAAAGCUGCUUUUAGGUGAUGAAUGAUGGGGAUAAAUAAGGUGCUUGAAGAGGGGCUGAGACCUAGAGGUCAAGAGAUUCUUUUACGUUGGCUGCUCUGUGAAUUCCACUCUAGGGGAAUGCUCCACUCCUGAACCGAGGCAGAGAAGGCUGGGAAGGACAGAUAGGACAGUGGUCAUCUUCCCACCAAAGCGUUUCAUGGUUGUGUAAUUUAGUCCCGGUUCUAGCUGAAUUUAUGGGAUGCAUCGGCUGCCCCCACAGCAUCUGCCUCCGUGUCGCAUGCUGCCAUGCCGGCUGGUGAUGACCCCCUCUCACCCUUUGAAGAAGGCAGUGGCUUCAGAUGCCCAAUUUAAAUGGCUACCACCCAACAUUAAAGUGGUAGUCACGCUGCCAGUCAUCCAUCAGGAGUAAUGUUGUAUUUGCUCUUCAUGGUGGGAACUUUCCAGCUAUUACCUCUCAUUCUCUCAGCAACCCUGAAAACUGGGUAUUAUCAUUUGUGCUUUAUAGAAAAGGAAGCUGAAGCCCCGAGGUUCCUUUAAACAACAUGCCGAGGAAACACAGUUUACUAAGUGAAAGAUGUAGACAAGGAACCUAGCCUGCUCAGAGGGUGAAACCUGUUGCUUUCUUCUAAAUCUCUUUUUGUAGAUGAUCUGUUUUUCCAGAUGAGGAAACUGAGGCUGAAAAGAGCUGGGUGAAUUGCCCACAAUCAUGCAGCUAGUACAAUAGCUAAAGAACAGCUAAUUACAGAAUGUUUACUCUGGCCCAGGCAGUGGGCCAUUAAAUGAGACAGUGACUAUCUCAUUUAAUCCACAUAACAGCUGGUCUUAUGUCACAAACAAAUGCCAGAACUGGCAUUUGUGAUCAGGUCUACUCGCCUUUGGAGUUUUCAACUACCGGAUUCUGCUGUAAGGAGACUGCUAGGGGUUGAUAUAAAUCCCAAGACUUCAAAGGAGGAAAGGUCAUGGUGGCUAAGAAGAUACCUAAUCAGAAUAUCUGGGGGUGAAGCUGCUGCAAGCCACCUCUGUCUCUGAAUGCAGUUCCUGUUUGUUCCUAAGUGAUGGAUGGAAGUCUGAGCACUGAGGAUCAGGAGGGUCCAGCUUUAUGUCAUGGGCAUUUGAGUGAAGGACACCAGUCACCCUCUGGUGAUCAAUGGAGGUGUAAAACCCCAAAGACAUCCAGGAUGGCUGAGAUCAGAUGGAUGAAUGCAGGCAUCCAUCUGGGAUCUUUCUUUCCAAGGAAAUUGAUGGAAGAUGUGUCAGGCUUAGCUCACAGCAUUCCAGCCGAAAGGGUCAGUUGUCCAAAACCUUACAGUGUCCUCCACCCAGAGAUGACAGGCUGGGGGAAGGGUCCUGAUGGCCUCUGACCUAGUUCUGGAGACGAGGUGCUAUCUGCUCUGUAAAUACCGCCGACAUUCCUGGGAGAUGAAAGACAGCUCCAGAGGCAGUGUCGUAAGCCCCUCCAAACUCCAGACACACGCUGGUCAUCCUGGCUGACUCCCUCUUUAAGCAACACUGGAAAAUACAGGUACACAGCUGUGAAGGGUGGUGGGGGCUGGAAGGCAGCAGUUUUAUCAGAAGCACAGUUCAUUUUCCCCAUGCAACCCCAGGAGGGUCAUUGCAUUGUUGAAUUGAAAUGAUGAUUAGAAAAUUCAUGGACUUGGGAGGAAAUUUUUGGAGUGCUUGUAUACCAGCAAACUCUUUUCUCUCUCCCAGGAGCCCAGUAAUAGGGGCAUUGUUAUUAUCCCUAUUUUUAUGAAGGAGGGGACUGUAGCCCAGAAAAGGUAAGUUGUGUGUCCUUAUGCCUCAGCUGCUAAGUGAUGGAGCAAGGUCUUGUGUCCAGGGCUCCUAACUCUAGCUCACAUUUUUCUUACCCUCUGGCUGCCUCCACCAUCCCUUGGGUCGAUAGACAGUUAUCCCAACUCUGCCUGGACAUCCAACAUGGACCAUUCCAGGGUUGGAGAGCUAUCGUCUAGUGUUAAAAAUAACAGCGACCAGUUUUUGAGCCCUGCUAUGCACCAAACUGUAUUCUAAAGGUACGUUACGCCUGAUUCUCAGCUCCACUUCUUGUGGUUUAAAUUGUGGGAUCUGAGUCUCAUAGAACACGAGUGACCUGCCCAAGGACACACAACCAGUAGGUAAGUCUUACGUCAAACUCAUGACACCACACUUUCUUCUUAUAUUGAAUGGAAGUCAUCUCGGUACAUCAAUUUAAUGGAAUGUUAUGCAGACAUUAAAUUUUUCUUAAAAAAAAGAAAAAAUGCUAACUAAAACAAGCAAGAUAUGUCAACUAUACAUCAAUAAAAC
rnacentral:lncRNA from 1 species